rnacentral:rRNA from 1 species
AUACGAAGGGGGCUAGCGUUGUUCGGAUUUACUGGGCGUAAAGCGCACGUAGGCGGAUUGACAAGUUAGGGGUGAAAUCCCGAGGCUCAACCUCGGAACUGCCUCUAAAACUGUCAAUCUCGAGACCGGAAGAGGUGAGUGGAACUCCUAGUGUAGAGGUGGAAUUCGUAGAUAUUAGGAAGAACACCAGUGGCGAAGGCGGCUCACUGGUCCGGUACUGACGCUGAGGUGCGAAAGCGUGGGGAGCAAACAGGAUUAGAUACCCCAGUAGUCC